GGUGGGAGCACAGGUGUUCUUUCCUUUCUUGAGCCUCUCCCCAUUCUGGAACCUUCUUCCCCAUCACCGAGGCCCGGCUCCACCCUCAUCACAGAGCUGAGCCAGGUGGCCCCGAGCCCACCGGCUCUCCCCACUGACCACUCGACUCGGCUUGACUCUGAAUGUCUGGUCCUGUGAAGCCACGUCUGCUCGUGUGGCUUUGGCAUCAGUGGCCAAGGUGGAGUGGGGUGGGGCGGGGGAGGGGGAGGCCGGGGAGGGGGUGGGUGGGGGUGGGGGGAGAUAAAAAAUGUAAAACACAAAACCAGUCCAGACUGUUUUCACUGAAUUUCUAGAAAUAAGCCAAUUUCUACUUCUCUUGCUCCCUCUCAGUGUUUUAGCUGAAACACUAAAGGAGCCCACGUGUCUCCUUUAGGGAGAGACAGCCGUUGAAAGCCUAAUUUGGGAGUUACACGCAUUCUCCUGCCCAGCCAGAAAAAGCCCUCAGGCUGGUGAUGGGCGCCUUGCAAGCAAGCACCCAGCUCCCUGACCGCAGCUCCUCCCCUAGAGGCGAAGCAGGGGAUUUACCGGUGCCGGGUAACCAAUUAACGCCGUGGGACAGAGGACCGGCAGGCCACCGGGACUGCAGAUGGGGGACUCGUCCACUCUCGAGAUUUCAAUUAUCACUUUCCUGUUGCUGAUUCCCAGACUCUUCACACCCAGGACUCUGCCUGCUGCCAGGCCUUCCAACGACGGUCACGUGGACGCCUGCCCUGAGCUCCGGUGUUUUGCCCGUUUGUCACCGAUGCUUCCGGCAGCCCUGCAAGGAAAAGAAGUCUUCCCCAGAACUCAUCUAAGAGGGAUUUGCUUCUGCUUCAUUGGGUGGGGCGUAGUGACUCCGCGACAAACCGGUGGCCAAGGAGAGGAGAUCCCACAGCUGACUGAGUCAAAACCACUCCCCGAAGCCUGAUGUUCUCCACCCCCGCCGGUGCACUGGAGCCCCUGACCGGGACAGGCCUGAAGCUGGCUUCUGGGGCUGCAGGGGCGAGCGAGGAGGCAGAUGGACAAACGGGCCGUGUCAUUCUGGGUGGUCAUUUGUAUGGUGAGGUGGGCAUGUGCAUUUUAGAAAAAUCAUAAUGGUGCUAUGUGGAGGGUGGACUGGGGGGCAGGGGGU
rnacentral:lncRNA from 1 species